UACGUAGGCAGCAAGCGUUGUUCGGAAUUACUGGGCGUAAAGGGUGCGUAGGCGGCUUUUUAAGUUUGGUGUGAAAUCUCCCGGCUCAACUGGGAGGGUGCGCCGAAUACUGAGAAGCUAGAGUGUGGGAGAGGAAAGUGGAAUUCCUGGUGUAGCGGUGAAAUGCGUAGAGAUCCGGAAGAACACCGGUGGCGAAGGCGGCCUGCUGGGCAGUUUAGCUGACACUGAGGCGCGACAGCGUGGGGAGCAAACAGG
rnacentral:rRNA from 1 species